GACCAGUGUAACACGACAGUGGAGUAUGUUGACAUCAUUAUUGCUGUAUCCUGCGCAUAUCAGAGCGCCAACCGUCUUUCUCGAGUCAAGAAAACGCUCAUCUGCCCAUGUCAUCCGACAAGGACUCGACUACAGUUCUCUCUGGAGUCUUAAAAAGUCCUGCUGGAUCCGGGCGUUACAUGCUUUGAGUCUCCAGAUGAAUUCUGCAGGGAGAUAGAAAGCUUCAAUGUGAGAUUGGAUAUUUCCAAGGCAGCAGCAGCAGCGAGGGGAAGAGCUUACAGAGUGCGCACUGAUGGAUAGGCUACCCUCCUGGGUGCGGGUAUUAGGAAAGGCGACCCGGUUAGACACACGCCCGGUGGAACAGAGACGUGAGAUGACAAGACAUAAGUUACAAAGAGCUUUUGUUCAACCCAGGAGGGAAUUUAAUACCGCACUGACGACACUUCUGCUCCUGCUCCUCUCGCCUCCGGACUGUCUGACUGGUGCGUUUUACGCACAUCUUUACACGGAAUAUUCAUCAUUGGCAUAUAACGGUAAGUUUUACACCUUUGUAUGUGAAAAUUGAGGGACCGUCUAUUCAUAAUCCAUUACAACUUGGCAUGAACAUGAGUUUUAAACAGAUAACCUCAGUCUGAUGUCAUCCUCUUAACUCCAUGGUGUGCAUUUUCAUCAUUUUGUGCUCCUGUAAGAACUUUGGAGAUAAGAAUAUAAGGGAAUAAAAUAGUGAUUCCUCCUUAUCAGGCUGCUGUGUUGAGUAUUUUUAUGCCUUUUUGUCAUUUUAUGUGAAUUGAGGUUGAAAUGCAAUGAAUAUUCUAUUAUUAGAUUUGAAACGUUAACGGCUGUGCAGCCCUCUUCAAUUCGGUUCUUUGCAGGUGACACUUCUUUCCCUCUGUGCAUGGCGUGCGUGUGCGCGCGUGCGUGAACGCUCAUAUGGGGGGGAGAGGGGGCGCGUGCUGCCACCAGACCCAAUGAAGGGAUAUUAAAUCACUGGGCCAGUACAGAGCGCGCAGAAACUGAUGGAGUAAGCUAAAGUGUGAGGGAUUGCUCCUCACUUUGUCCGCGAGUAAAUCUUCACUUUAUCAGCCGCUGUCAGGCUGCCGCUUCAGCACAAGAUUGCAAUAGCCACGCGCUGCAGCUCCGCGUCAGGAGUAGUGACCAGAUAAACGGAUUUUCCCUCACUACCUGGACUAAAUUGCUUCGCGAUUCAUACUGAGAGACAGACAGUCUUCUCAUAGUGCCACCACAUCCUUAUCCCGUCUAUGCUGCUGUGCUGCUGUAAUGAAAAAGCUCCAGGACGGCGAUGGAAAGGUAGGCUGGAUGAUUUCCUCUUCACUGACUCUGGGGUGUCACUGCAAAUUGGCACGAAUGAAUGUUGUUGAUGUGAUGAGCCAAAAACGCACCAUCAAAGACUUGUAGGGUGCUUGAUGUGCAGUUAAAAAUGGAGUUAAUUUUCCUGCAGGGCACAGGAAACCUGACGUCUGUGGAGAUCAAUCAGUAACUGUGAGGCAGCACUGAAGUGUCAGGGUGUCUUUGAAGGCUGCCUGGAAGUGUAAGGAAACUGAUUACCACAGAGCAACAUGAGAAAUUUUCCCUAAGCUUUGCCUCUUUUUUUUUUGAGUGCUUAGAUUCAGCAUAACAAGAGGGAACAUGAGCUUUAAAAUCUGUUUCGCUUGCAGGGAUGAGAACCUGCAGUCUUCAUGCACCUCCCUCACAUUCAGGGGUGGCGGGUCUCUUCUUUCACCUCUACAGGAACAGAGACACCCCAAAGUGUCCUGUCAGCAUCUGCAGGGAAAAGUAAAUCCCAGCAGCGGCCAGUGAGCCGGCUAUCAAUCCCGAAACACAACACCAACUCCAAUUAUGCUGAGAAAGCUUGGGAUGUGCUGUAUCUCUGUGUGAUUGCAGCCGUCUGUGUGUGUGGUGCACCUUUGAGACCACUACGACACUGGAGGGCUCACUUCAAUCCUUUGCGUACUGAUAUGAAUCACAAUGAUGUGCUGCCGUUAUCUGAGGUCAUCCCCCUGCAGAACUCCCCUACUUCUCAAACUGCUGAGUGUAACAGUCCAGCUUUUCCUCUAAUGAGAGUAAUUAUCCACUUGAGUUAAUAAUUAAUGGCAAUAAGGUCACUGAGUGAGUCACUUUUCAUGCUGUGUCCUGAUACCCAGCUGCAUCAGUUUGACUCCUUCGUUAGGGUAAACAUCUUUUCUUGCUAAUCAUGAGCUUAUCUCCAACUUUUAGCAGCUGCUGCACACAUGUCUGCUCAUGCAUGUGUCUUUUUCAUUGAUCAUUCUGACAAUAAGACCUCUGCAGGCACACCCAGUCAUUCUUCAAAUCACAAUGAGGAUACGUAGCCUCAUAAAGGAACCAAAAAAAAAAAAAAACCAAGGUUACUGCAUCACUUUCCGGAAAGUCUCUGCACAGGUUGGAAGUUGUCUUGACAGCGUUCUUUGUGGGGAGUUAACAUUUUCAUUUACUUCAAGGACAGCAGCUCAGAGAUUUGACUUCAUUCACAAUCAGCAGUCUGAUGGCUUUAAGACGCUGUUUCAUCAAGCCACUCAGUCUGAUAAAUAUAAUUUCAUAUUCAGCAUUUGAAGUGAUUACUCCCUCCAUGGAGAUUAUUUGAGAAGAGGGCUGACUCACUCAACUGUUACUGGAAACUGCUCUGCUCCUCUUCACCCAGAGACUUCAUUUCCUUUUGCGCUAUUUUCGACUAAACACCCUGCAUGGACUGUGUUUCUUGAUAGAAGAACAAGGAAGAAUCAAAAAACACCAAGUGAUCUGGUUAUUCGACCUUGUUACAUUUUCCUCCUUUAUACAGUUCUUUUUUUAACCAAUGCCUCAGAGCUAAAGUCCUGAUAGAUUUCAGCACUGACGCCCAUUUUUAGACAAUGGGGGAUGUGUUUCUAUGGUCCUGAGUGAACCUAUGCAUUUGGGAAGCAAAGCUGCUGGUGCCGGCUACUUUGCAGCACCAUGCAUAAUCAGGUUUUCUGAGAACAAAGAUGUUGGUUCUAUAAACAGUGUUUGUUUGGACGAUCUGGGCAUCCAGAACCCAAGAGAACAGUGGCUCUUUUCACAACACACCGAGGGGAAGGGACCCAGUGGAGGGACCAGCUAUGUUCUCAGUAAAAAGGUUGUGUACCCCUGGAGAAUAACAAAGAGAGGAGCGCGGAGGAAUAGUAAAGCCUUCUUCCAUUAUGUGCUUUUCAUAAUGAAAUGAUAGCGGGUUGGUGUAUAAAGACAUACCCUUUAAAAGCACAGACAAGCGUUAAAGGUAAACACAACCUUCACAGUAUAGCUAUUGUAUUAGUACAGUAUAAAGCAUGUGUAGUUUCACAAUACGCAAUCACCUGGUUAAACUAGGUUUUAGCUCAUUUUGUGGAUGCCAGUUGCUCUGCUCUCCCUCAGUACUGGACCAGUUUCAGAAAUUGUUCCUCCCAUCAGUCAUGAGGAAUAGAGCCUAAGUUGAAAAAUACCAAAAUUUUGCUUUAAUCACAUUUUGGCAGGUUACUCAGAUUUAUAAUGUUAAAACAAGAUAAACAAGCCUUUUUACAUCAACUCCCUUGAAUAUCAACAUAGGCGACUGAGUUGAUGAAAAGAGACUAUUAGCUAAGCAAGCGCACUUUCAUGAAGUCUCCAAAAUCCAACAAAAAAAGUCAAACUUUGUGUAUGUAAUUGAGGCAGAUUCCAGACCAGACUAUUCCAAUCGAAUGAAGUUCUGUAAACUCAUUUAAUAUCACUGAAAUUCCCGUGGAAAUAAAUGGACUUGUGGCUGACUCACAUGUAAACUUCACUCAAAAAAGUAGGGACGCAUAGUAUUGUCAGCACUGCAGCUUAAAAUGUCAAUUAGCACAGACAAAAAUAUCUGCACAUUUCUAUGGCCGAUAAGUCAAGGCAUUAAUUAUGUACACACAAUGACAAGUUUAAACAUGCCCACCGCAUGAGUAGGAGACAAAAACAACAAGAGAGCGUCUGCAAUACCUGUAAAGCUCAAGUGAAGGAAGGCUGAGCAAAACAAGAUAACAGUUUAAUGCAUUUUAAGACCUGUCAACCAGAACAGCAUCAAGAGUGUGAAGUAGACUCUACUCCAGUCAUUUAGCUAAGAAAUAAAGCAGAACCACACAAAGCUUAACAAGAAAAUUAUCGCUGCACUCAGGAACCAGCUUUUUAGAGUGGUGGGAGAUUCAGACUUCUACACCCUAUUAAGGUACUUGGAUGGUACUGGAGCUUAUAUUGAUUAGACAGUAUCAACAUCUCAGUUUACAUUUAUAAAAAUCCAGAAUUAUGCCUCUCUAUAAGAAAUAAUUGCAUUUGCUGCCUGAAAAGACCUGCUUAUCAUUCCUUCUUAAAUCAAAUCCAACUGCUGAAGAAGCAGCGUCUCCUCCUUUACUCAACAACUUGUCAUAUUUCACUUACUUGCAUGCAAAUGUAUGCAUGCUUGUUUUUUUGUUUUAUUUUUUGCUGUCAAUCUGUCACAUGAUGGAUCGACGCGGUGAUGCAUUGUACUGAUAAUAAACAGCUUGAGUAAUGGCCACGAGUACUUUGACUACUCUUCCUUUUUAUUAAGGCCCUCAGACUGCCUCAUUAAAGAAGAGUUUCUACAACAAGGAUAUCACUAAGCAUACAUUUGAAGUCUGGUUAUGUAAAUCUCUGGAAUCUGGUAUGCUGAUUUUCCCUUUGUUCACUCAGAUUAUGUCCUUGUUGACGUUAGAUCCACUCAUGCUCUUCUUCCUGUGAUCUGCCAAGAAGCUCAAAUCUGCCUCCAUAUAUAACACGUUGAUCAUAAAAGCCAUGCUAUUGUUACAGCUGGCACAAUACGCUAUUGUUAAGUCAACUAUUGUGCAAGUCUCUGAAAAGAGGAGGCUCUUUUCAAAAGAUGAAGUCUUGUGUGAGACAUGCACAGCACGUAUCCAUUACAUUCAUCGUCCUGAUUGUGGAGAAUAAGUGCGACUUAUUACUCAACAUCAAUACUUCAAUUACGAGUCCGAGUAAUUGCACACAGUGUCUGCUGCGUUUCAGCAGGCAAAGUCAUUUUAGGUCUGUCAAAACCCAUUGUUGCCUCGCUAAUGAAAGGCAAUCCACGUCAACGAUUAAAUGAAGGAUCUGGGUGGCCUCUUUCUCGGAGGCCAGGUUGCCUUGAGCAGUUUCCAUCCUUUAUUAGUCCCUAUUUUUGUCAAACGUCCUAUAUGAAGGCAGGGGAAGGAUUCGCUCUGAUUUCGAUUACAAAAGGAGUCACCGCCCUGCAAUGCCUUAUGCAUUUGAAGCCUAAAAUCAGCUAUUCCUGACAGCAUGCUUCAAAAGGAUCAUUCCCAAGAGUUUGGCCGACUCUCUAGUAUCUCUGAUAAAAUGCAAUUCCAUCCAACGCUGUUACCUUUAAAGCGUUCGAAGAUUUCACUCCGGUUCAAAACCUAUUUAAAAUCCCAACUGUGUUUCCCUUUUUCAAAUAUUGUAUUCUCCUUCUAUCCAGGAUAGGAACAAGGGUUAGAUGAAUUGAAUUUUGCCUCUAGCUCUCCUUCCUUUUUUCGUUUGCUUCGUCCUUUCAUCCGUCCUCUGAGUUCAUAUCCCUGUAGUCUCAAAUCUAGGUUGGACCCAUUUUCAUACAAGGACCUUGGCAAGAGAUGGAAGAAAAGUAAAGUAAUUGCUAAAUGCUUCACAGGCUCCAGUUUUGCUUCAGAGGCUGAUGUAAGCAUCUUUGAAAUGUUCCUCAGACUGGGGAACGAACGUGACAGAAAUGGGAUAAAUGUGGGAUCAAUGUCACGGCGAGAAAAAAAGCUACUUGAUUAUUUUUGUUCUCUUGCCUGUUGAUGUUCCUCCUGCAGAUCGAGGGCGUGUCUGUGAAGCCAUGACAUUUUCAGACCUUUGUUUGUGAUACACAGCUCAGGGUUCACUCAGCUCUGACCUUUUAAUCCCUGUUACAUGACGAUGGACUCCUCCUGAGAGAGAGAGACGAGCAGAAGACAAGACCGAAUAACAGAGGCAUGGCGUUUGUUUGGAAACUGAUUGCACGCCUUCCACCGCUCUGAUGACAAAUGAGGGAGGAAUAAAAAAACAGUCUGCCUGCAAAUAUCUCCAAUUUCUAUGCCCAACAGAUCCUAUUUCUUUUCAAUAGUGUAAUAAUGAUUACAUUUAUUCCCCAUGACAUUCACCGAUUCUGCUGUAGGGCCUUUAUAUAAGGACAUAGCAAACUGAUCUUUUUCUGAGGACCCCUGGCACUGGUAGUCAUUAACCUUCUAGUCAGGCAAUUUGGGCCAGAGGAGAGUUUUUUUCCAGGUGGAUGUGAGAUGUGGCUGGUUUCAGCUCUUCCCAAGGUGAGAAAGACUAUUUUCAGCGGGCAGGUGAUGAAUGUGGUGUCUGUGUGGGUGCUUCGCCUCUUUUGGCGCUCUCUUUUUUCGUUCUCAUUUGAUCUCCAUUAGUAUUUUCCUUUAUUCCAUUAGCCUUCGUGUUCAUUUUUCCGUCUCUUUCUCUGGUCCCACCACUGUCUGUCACUCUCUCCCUCCCAUUUUCUCCCAUCUGCUCCCUCCGUCUCUCACACAGGAUCUAUUGUAAUUGACUUUGCCUCUCAUCCUUCCUCGGUCUCCCCCCUCUUAUUUCCUUCCUCUGUGUCUCCCUGUCUUCCUCUUUAUAGCGGAUCAGCUGAUGUCCGCCCUGAGUUGAAGGUGACCCGUCGGCUGGGCCAGGGGCUGCAACACAGGACAUGGGUCCUGCCUCUCCUCCCCGCUCGUGUCUUGUGUUGCAGCCAGUGGAGCUGCCUGUCUGUCUCCCUGCCUGUCUGUCUGACUGACUGACCACCACAGCUGGACUGAGCUGCCAUGGAUCACCUGGACCUGGAACCUAUUUCUGAGUUUGCAUUGUUUUUAUGACUUAUCCUUGUUAUUUCCACAGUUUUGAAUCCAUCACGUUGACCUACCAUACAGUUACAAGGCAGACGGCUGUCCACCCAUAAGUCCGGUUCUGCCUGAGGUUUCUGGGCUAAUGAGUUUUCCCUUGCCAGUGUAACAGAGCAGCCUCAGUGCAAAAAUGUGUGCUGCUACAGUGUAGACCUGCUCUUUGUGUGAAGUGUCCGAAGAUAACUCCUUUUGUGACUAAGCGCUUCAACAAUAAACAAUAACUUAUAAAAAUAUGAAAAAUACUCCUGUUGUGAAACUAACUGUGGACUUAGCUGAGAUCUACUUGCUUGAGGUUAUUUUGUCCUCACCAUAAAUUGUUUAAAAGGUGGGAGUAGACUCAGAUAUAUUACUGAAUAUCAAUGCCACAUUAAGAAAGGAAAAAAGGCCAAAAAAAACUUCACCUGUGGAACAAACUCCCUGAGCACCUUAGGUGCGUACAAAGAGUCAGCUCAUUUAAAUCAGGGCUGAAAACAUUACUGUUUACUGCAGCUCUCCUGUCAGUUUCUUUUACUUCUACUUUGAUAUCUGCUGUUCUGUUGUUUUCAACUGAUUUUAAAAUACAUUUUCAUAUUUUAUUGAUUUUAGGUUGACAAUGCUUCAUCUGUUCCGUGUUUUUCAGGGGAAUAAAAAAACAAAUUGGGACCUAACUAAUGAAAUGGGAAGACUAGGCAAAAGGCUGGGGAGCUCCGGGUCAGUGACCCACUGUAAACUGUGAACUGAAGAAUGAAAACGUAGUAAGAAUAAGAAUAACUUCAAGGUUGGAGGUGGUAAUAAGGUUGUAUAAGGUUGUUAAAGGAGCACCGAUCAGAGUAAAGUCAUGUGGCCCGAAUAUUCCUUUGUGCAGUGAUGCCACCUUGGCUCCCAAUGAGGGUUAUGAAGCCCACUUAAAGUAUUGGAAAUGUUAUUUUUGCUGAACUUUUGGCUGAUGUAGAGACUGGUUAGUGAAGGUAGAGUUGAGGGUGGUCCUUUAGCCUGUCAAUCAAAUAAGCCGCACCCUUGACAAGACAGAUAAAGAAAUGAGCAACAGAGACUAAAACUUUCUUGUCUCAUGCCGUCAGCAUUUAAACUCUGCAGUUAAAAUCAGAGUAUUAAAAUCCUUCAGUGGACACUCCAGAAAACAUUUCUUUUGCACGUCUACAUUCAUUAUUCACUGAGUCUUAACACAUUAUUCAAAGGCAGUAAUCUGUUUGGGCAGAUCGCUGUUUACCGAUGAGUCGGGCUCUGCUUGUGGAUUCUGCUCAUACAUAGAAGUUUUCUUGCCACUCUCACCAAGUGCUUGUUCAUGUUGGAUUACUAUUCGGUCUCUCAUAUUUGUAUAACAGUUUAGAUCUGCUUCAUGUAAGUGAUUAAUUGAUUGAUUUAUGAACUGAAUAAAGUGCAUAAAACAUUA
rnacentral:lncRNA from 1 species